rnacentral:rRNA from 1 species
UACGUAGGAUGCAAGCGUUGUCCGGAUUUACUGGGCGUAAAGAGCGCGCAGGCGGUCAGAUAAGUCGAAUGUGAAAGCCCCCGGCUCAACUGGGGAGGGUCAUUCGAUACUGUUCGACUCGAAGGCAGGAGAGGGAAGUGGAAUUCCCGGUGUAGUGGUGAAAUGCGUAGAUAUCGGGAGGAACACCAGUGGCGAAGGCGACUUCCUGGCCUGUUCUUGACGCUGAGGCGCGAAAGCUAGGGGAGCAAACGGG